GAAAAGAAACCAACAGGGAUUGCCUCAGUAGCGGCGAGUGAAGCGGCAAGAGCUCAGAUUUGAAAUCGCAGCACCAUGCUGCGAGUUGUAGAUUGCAGGUGGGAGAGUCUGCGUAGGCCGGUGUCGAAGUCCCUUGGAACAGGGCGCCACUGAGGGUGAGAGCCCCGUGCGAUGCCACGCUCUACGUUUUGUACUCCCCUCUGACGAGUCGAGUUGUUUGGGAAUGCAGCUCUAAGUGGGUGGUAAAUUCCAUCUAAGGCUAAAUACUGGCGAGAGACCGAUAGCGAACAAGUACUGUGAAGGAAAGAUGAAAAGCACUUUGAAAAGAGAGUGAAACAGCACGUGAAAUUGUUGAAAGGGAAGGGUAUUGGGCCCGACAUGGGAAUCGCGCACCGCUGCUCCUUGUGGGCGGCGCUCUGGGCUUUUCCUGGGCCAGCAUCGGUUCUUGCUGCAGGAGAAGGGGCUGUGGAAUGUGGCUGCCGCGCUUUGCCGGGGCAGUGUUAUAGCCACUGGGCCAGAUGCUGCGUGUGGGGACCGAGGACUGCGGCCGCAAGGUCUCGGAUGCUGGCACAACGGCGCAAUA
rnacentral:rRNA from 1 species